rnacentral:rRNA from 1 species
AUUGAACGCUGGCGGCAUGCCUUACACAUGCAAGUCGAACGGUAACGGGCCUUCGGGUGCCGACGAGUGGCGAACGGGUGAGUAAUACAUCGGAACGUGCCCGAUCGUGGGGGAUAACGAGGCGAAAGCUUUGCUAAUACCGCAUACGAUCUACGGAUGAAAGCCGGGGACCGCAAGGCCUUGCGCGGACGGAGCGGCCGAUGGCAGAUUAGGUAGUUGGUGGGAUAAAAGCUUACCAAGCCGACGAUCUGUAGCUGGUCUGAGAGGAUGAUCAGCCACACUGGGACUGAGACACGGCCCAGACUCCUACGGGAGGCAGCAGUGGGGAAUUUUGGACGAUGGGCGCAAGCCUGAUCCAGCCAUGCCGCGUGCAGGAUGAAGGCCUUCGGGUUGUAAACUGCUUUUGUAAGGAACGAAAAGCCUUCUUUUAAUACAGGAGGGUCAUGACGGUACCGUAAGAAUAAGCACCGGCUAACUACGUG